rnacentral:rRNA from 1 species
AAAUUGAAGAGUUUGAUCAUGGCUCAGAUUGAACGCUGGCGGCAGGCCUAACACAUGCAAGUCGAACGGUAGCACAGAGAGCUUGCUCUCGGGUGACGAGUGGCGGACGGGUGAGUAAUGUCUGGGAAACUGCCUGAUGGAGGGGGAUAACUACUGGAAACGGUGGCUAAUACCGCAUAACGUCGCAAGACCAAAGAGGGGGACCUUCGGGCCUCUUGCCAUCAGAUGUGCCCAGAUGGGAUUAGCUUGUUGGUGAGGUAACGGCUCACCAAGGCGACGAUCCCUAGCUGGUCUGAGAGGAUGACCAGCCACACUGGAACUGAGACACGGUCCAGACUCCUACGGGAGGCAGCAGUGGGGAAUAUUGCACAAUGGGCGCAAGCCUGAUGCAGCCAUGCCGCGUGUAUGAAGAAGGCCUUCGGGUUGUAAAGUACUUUCAGCGGGGAGGAAGGUGUUGUGGUUAAUAACCACAGCAAUUGACGGUACCCGCAGAAGAAGCACCGGCUAACUCCGUGCC